AUUACAUCUGAAAAGUCACAGUGAUCAGAAAAUGCUUCAAGUCCCCAGGUGCUGUUCUAUUUUCAACAGUGUUGUUCUUACCUCCACCCAUCUCAACAAGCGACUCUGGGCAGCGCACCA